rnacentral:rRNA from 1 species
GACGAACGCUGGCGGCGUGCCUAAUACAUGCAAGUUGAGCGCUGAAGGUUGGUACUUGUACCAACUGGAUGAGCAGCGAACGGGUGAGUAACGCGUGGGGAAUCUGCCUUUGAGCGGGGGACAACAUUUGGAAACGAAUGCUAAUACCGCAUAAAAACUUUAAACACAAGUUUUAAGUUUGAAAGAUGCAAUUGCAUCACUCAAAGAUGAUCCCGCGUUGUAUUAGCUAGUUGGUGAGGUAAAGGCUCACCAAGGCGAUGAUACAUAGCCGACCUGAGAGGGUGAUCGGCGACAUUGUGACUGAGACACGGCCCAAAAUCCUACGGGAGGCAGCAGUAGGGAAGCUUCGGCAAUGGACGAAAGUCUGACCGAGCAACGCCGCGUGAGUGAAGAAGGUUUUCGGAUCGUAAAACUCUGUUGGUAGAGAAGAACGUUGGUGAGAGUGGAAAGCUCAUCAAGUGACGGUAACGACCCAGAAAGGGACGGCUAACUACGU